GAACAAGGAAAUACCCUUUUCCAUUUUCUCAACAACUAGAUUAAAACGAAGAAUCGAAAUAGAUUCUAAGCGAGACAAACAAAAAAGGGGUUAGAGACCACUCAAUAAAAGAAUGCCUAAGGUUUUUUUUUGAGCAUUUUGAGAGUUAUUUGACUUGAGUUAUGAGAGUACGAAUGCUUUUUUCUUCUUUUUUUUUCGAAAAAAAAGACGAGGUUAAAUGUCUAAUUGAUUUGCUGGUUUAUGGAUCUUUUUGACAUGCUAAUUCCAUACAUUAUAAUUCCAUACAUAGACAUAACUUUAAAUUAAUCAUUUUUUUCUCGAGCCGUACGAGGAGAAAACUUCUUAUACGUUUCUAGGGGGUAUUAUUUAACUACAUCUAUCCCAAUGAGCCGUUUAUCGAAUCGUUGCAAUUGAUGUUCGAUCCCGAAGAGAGGGAAGAGAUCUUCGAAAAGUGGGCUUUUAUGAUCCGAUAAAUAAUCAAACCUAUUUAAAUGUUCCCGCCAUUCUCUAUUUCCUUGAAAAAUAAGUAUUAUCUUAAAGCUUGAGAUUUGCAAAUUUGACAUCAAAACCAUAAUUUUUUGUGAGAUUUUGAGUCUUUAGCGCAUACAUUAUUCAUGCUCAUUAUAUUAUUGGUUAUGAGUGUGUCAACAUGAUUUAUUAUUCUAGAAUUUGCUUUGAUUAUGCUUGUCAAGACCACACCUUUGAUUUGAUAUACUGAGAUGAUAGACACUUAGGUUUAACCCACUUAUCCGGUAAAAAGCCUACCUUUUGAAUUAACCCUUAGUGAAUGCCAUUGAGCCUAACACUCCUUUUCUUGAUUAACCCAUGAAUUUUAACCCAUAACCCAUUUUUUGUUGUGACUCUUUCCCGUUUUAUUGACUCCCUUUUUAUUGAGGUUUGACUUGGUUAGUUGCCUAACUAUGUUCCUUUGUUUGAAUUGCUGAAUUUUCUUUCUUGAUUCUUGUUCAAAAUUUUAAAAAAAAACUUAUUGAGUAUUAAUUAGUUUUAUGUUGAUUGAGCUUGAACAAUUAAAUUCAUAUUUUAAGAAGAAACUCAUUUUUUUAUUCCUAUUUAUUCUUGAUUGAUGCACUUGUUUUUAAUUCAGCAUUCGUUUAUUUUUUCUAGUUUGAUAAUUUAUCAACUUGAUCUAGAUUAUUACCAACUUUUCUGGCUUUUUUCCACACCCUUUAACCUAAGCCCCAUCACAACCUUUUAAAUACUUUUUGAUUGGUGUGUCAUAUCAUUUUAUAGUGGUGGAGAUUUGAUUUUCAAGCAAGCUUAUGGUAAUGAUAUUUCGUACUCGACUGUUGAGUGCUUAAUUCUUGAACCUUAAACACUUUGAGUGCUUUGAGUGAAUCUUUAGUGAGGAUGUCAAUUCUUGUUGAUUUUGAAUUAAAGGUAACAACUUAAAUAAGGGGAGACACCUAUAUUUUCGUGCUUUAAAAAUUUCGAAUUGGAUUGUUUGAAUCUUUAGUGCCCUUUUAGUUGAAUUGCCAAUGCAUAAUUAUUUGCAAAUUAUUCUGAGAUAUUAUUGAAUAGAAUUACAAGUUGAGAAAGAUUAACUUUAUAUGACUUGAGAAUUUUUCUUGAAGACAAACAAAUGCUUAAGUGUGGGGAUAUUUGAUAAGUGAUAAAAGUAACAUAUUUUAAUCUCGUUCUUAAUGUGUCUUUGGAUGAUUAUUUAUGCAAAUUGGUGAAUUUGAUGCUCCUAAUCCUUUGAAAUGUUCCUAUACUUAUGUAAACAUUCAGGAGCAAAAUAAUCGAAAAACAAUCGAAAAUUGAAAAAAAAAGAGUAGAUUUAAGGAGUCACACGGAUUGGGCCUUCCCACAUGUGCUGGACACAUGACCGUGUGAGCCACAUGAGUUGGACAUACGGCCAUGUCACAGACCAUGUCGAUUUCACAACUUGUUUCCCAAACAUGCAGAAAAAUGUAAUUUUUAGCCUUUCUAAACAUUCUAAAGACUAUAAAUACCAAAUAGAAGAAAAGAUAAGGGAGCUAUUAGAGAAUAGGGAAGAAAACAACUCAAAAAACACCAUUGGAGCCAACUCUGAAGUAGAUAUCCAUCAAGAUUGAAGACCUCCUUUUACUUUCUUUUGAAGUUUUCAUGAGUUUCUUUAUUUCUCGUGGUUAUUCUAACUUUAAGAUGUUUUUAUUCAAAAUUACGAUGGCCAGACUAAUCAUGAGAUUCGGGUUCUGCUGGCCCACCGUAGAAAGAAAUUGCAUCAGUAUGUCGUACAUGCCAAAUUUAUGGAGAUAAGAUUCAUGUGUCCCUUCAUUUCUUCGUAAACUUUCUCUAUGUGGGGCAUGGAUGUAAUGGGGCUGAUCUCGUCAAAAGCUUCUGGCCAACACCGAUUCAUCCUCGUGGUAGUCAGUUACUUCACUAAGAGGGUGAAGAUAGCUUCAUAUUCUAAUAUUACAAGGUCGAUAGUUAUCAAAUUCAAAUUAAAAAAAACACACACAAAAAAAGAAAAAGAAGAAAAUAAAAAAAAAUAAAAAAGUAAAAAGACAACAAAAAAGGAUCGUGAAAGAUAAUCGAAACUGUAAAGAUUGGCAUAAAGAAGUUACCAUUUAUCCUCUAUGCUUAUUAAACGUCAGCCAAGGCCUUUACCAGGGCAACAGCUUGCUCAUUGGUUUAUGGAAUGAAAACGGUUUUGCCAAUUGAACUCAGUCGAAAGGAAAAGGUUAAAAACUAUCUGUCACGGUCGAAUGAUGCGAGCUCACGACAAAAAGGUUUGUCCUAGAGAAUUCCACGUGGGGGACCUGACAUUAAAAAAAUCAUUUUUUAUACAAAAGGACUUUAGAGGAAAGUGGAGUCCAAACUAGGAAAUAUCUUCUGUAGUAAAGAAUGCCUGUUCUGGAGGAGCAUUAAUUCUAGCCAAGAUGGAUGGUAAGAAACUUGUCCAAUCCUGUGAAUUCAGAUUCUGUCAAGAAGUAUUUCACCUAAAGAGGGAGAGGCCAAGGUGAAACCCCGCAAAAGGGCGCUUUGAGACCUAAAAAAAAAAAGAGAGAAGCCAAGGCGAAAAUCCGCAAAGGGCGCUUUGAGAUCAAAGGGGUUUUGAAUUGAAAACCCGUAAAGGGUAAUUUAAAUAAAAGUGGGGCAUAGAGUAGUCUUGCUAUGCUUGAAUUAACAAUAAAGAAGUAUGCUACGUCUUGGGGCAUCGACAAAAUACUCCAGAUCCCCUAAACAUAUAUUGAGCUCAGAAAGGUCCUCAAGAAGUUCGUACAGAGAAGCUCAGGCUGUGAUAUCUGGGGCACCUAGUUUUCAGCUUACCUAUAUUGAAUUUACUAUCUUUGAUUACUUUGUUCGUUGCAAAAUACGCUUCCAAUAAAUUUUCUUCUUAAUUGCAUUUGCUAUCCUUGAUUAACUUACUUGCUUCGAGCUAUGCUCCUAAUUAAUUUCCUUCCGGUCCAUUAUUAUGAUAUUUUUCAAGCAUUUUACAUUGAAGUAACGAUUAGUGGACUAAUAACACUUUCAUAAAAGGAGUUUCGCAUAUUAUUUUGGAAGCUCUUAAAUGAUACAAGAACCUGAAAUAGGACUAUUGUUUAGAACAUACCAAGCCAAAGGGUUGGAAAUAUUGGAAAAAGAUUAUUGUCUCUUUGGAAUUUUUAUUGGUUGAAUAAAAAGACAAGACAUUUUGUUCGGUGAUACCACAUCGACAAAUAACGAGCAAUGCCAACCCAAGAAUCAAGGGGGAUCAUUCUCGGAAAAAGAAAAAUGAUACUCUGCAUUCAUGAGAAUAUUAGGCAUAUACAUCUGGUCAUUACACCCAGGGAAUGGUGUAACAGAUUAAAUUGAUUGAAGAUGAUACAAAUCCUAUACCUCUGAAUUGUAGCAAGAUAGAUAGUGAACCUUAUUCCUUUGAACUUGCAGUGGGAGGUACAAACUUUAUGUCCCAAAAGGUACAGUAGAAAGGACUCUGAAAUUACAGCGAGGCAAGCUUGCUGAGCAAAAUGUGAUUGUUUCUUUGACUUUUCUGUCAAGAAUACCAGCCGAACAAGAUGGCAGUGUAAUACGUCAGUGAUAAUGUCCUGAUGAAUAACGAGCGAUGAUACCUUAAGCAUUUAAAAAAGGAUCAUUCUCAUUUCUGCAUUCAUAGAUCAUUCAUAACACAUCUAGUUAGGAGCAUUUGAUUCAUUCCGAUCAUAUUUUCUAAUCAUUUGGCAUAAGCAUAGGUACAUGAAACCGAUUCUACAGAUCAUAUCCCUAGAGGAUGGUGUAACAACAUUGGUGAAUUCACAGAUCUUAUCUCCCUAAGCAGUAGUGGAGCAGAUAGAAGACGGUGAGCCUUAACCCCCUAAGCAGUAGGGUAGUAGGCUGAAAAUUAUAGAUCUUAUCUCCCUAAGCAGUAGCGGAGCAAAUCAAAGAUGGUGAGCCUUAACCCCCUAAAUAGUAGGGUAACAGGCUAAAAAUUACAAAUCUUAUCUCCCUAAGCAGUAGCGGAGCAGAUCAAAGACGAUGAGCCUUUACCCACUAAGCAGUAGGGUAACAGGCUGAAAAUUACAGAUCUUAUCUCCCUAAAUAAUAGUGGAGCAAAUUGAAGAUGGUGAGCCUUAACACUCUAAACAGUAGGGAAACAGGCUAAAAAUUACAGAUCUUAUCUCCCUAAGCAGUAGCGGAGCAGAUCGAAGACGGUGAGCUUUAACCCUCUAAGCAGUAGGGUAACAGGCUAAAAAUUACAGAUAUCAUCUCCCUAAGCAGUAGUGGAGCAGAUCGAAGAUGGUGAGCCUUAACUCCCUAACCAGUAGGGUAACAGGCUGAAAAUUACAGAUCUUAUCUCCCUAAGCAGUAGCAGAGCAGAUCGAAGACGGUGAGCUUAACCCCCUAAGCAGUAGGGUAACAGGCUGAAAAUUACAGAUCUUAUCUCCUUAAGCAGUAGCGGAACAUAUCAAAGACGGUGAGCCUUAACCCCCUAAGCAGUAGGGUAACAGGCUAAAAACCACAAUUCGUAUCUCCUUGAAGUUUCAGCGGAGUAGAUCGAAGCUACAAAUCUCUUCUCCCUGAAAUGGCACUGGAGUGGCUUGAAGCCACAAUUCGUAUCUCCUUGAAGUUCUAGCGGAGUAGAUCAAAGUUACAAAUCUCUUCUCCCUUAAAUGGUACUGGAGCGACUCGAAGCCACAAUUCGUAUCUCCUUGAAGUUUCAGCGGAGUAGAUUGAAGCUACAAAUCUCUUCUCCCUGAAAUGGCACUAGAGUGGCUCGAAGCCACAAUUCGUAUCUUCUUGAAGUUCUAGCAGAGUAGGUCGAAGCUACAAAUCUCUUCUCCCUGAAAUGACACUGGAGCGACUCAAAGCCACAAUUAGUAUCUCCUUGAAAUUUCAGCGGAGUAGAUCGAAGCUACAAAUCUCUUCUCCCUAAAAUGGCAUUAGAGCGGCUCGAAGCUACAAUUCGUAUCUCCUUGAAGUUUUAGCAGAGUAGAUCGAAGUUACAAAUCUCUUUUCCCUGAAAUGGCACUAGAGCGGCUCGAAGCCACAAUUUAUAUCUCCUUGAAGUUCUAGCGGAGUAGAUCGAAGUUACAAAUCUCUUCUCCUUGAAAUUGAACUGGAGCGGCUCGAAGCCACAAUUUGUAUCUCCUUGAAGUUCCAGUGGGGUAGAUCGAAGCUACAAAUAUCUUUUCCCUAAAAUGGCACUAGAGCGGCUUGAAGCCACAAUCCGUAUCUCCUUGAAGUUUCAGUAGAGUAGAUCGAAGCUACAAAUCUCUUCUCCUUGAAAUGGCACUAGAGCGGCUCAAAGCCACAAUUCGUAUCUCUUUGAAGUUUCAGCAAAUUAGAUCGAAGCUAAAAAUCUCUUCUCCCUGAAAUGGCACUGGAGCGGGUCGAAGCUACAAUUCUUAUCUCCUUAAAGUUUCAGCGGAGGAAAUCGAAGAUACAAAGCUCUUCUCCCUGAAAUGGCAUUGGAGCGAUUGAAGCCACUAAACCUUAUCUCCCUGAAGUUGCAGUGGAACAGGUUGAAGUUACGAGUCUUAUCUCCCUGAAGUUGUAGUGGAGCAGAGUGAAGAUAGCAAAUCUUAUCCCUCUGAAGUUGUAGUAGAGUAGAUUAAAACUAUAAAUCCUAUACCUCUGAAAUUGUAGUAGGUCGGAUCAAAUCUACCUUGACAAGUCUUAUCUCCCUAAAGUUGCAGUGGAGCAGACUGAAGAUAACAAAUCUUAUUUCCCUGAAGUUGCAUUAGAACAGAGUGAAGCUAUAAAUAAAUAGCUCUUAUCUCUCUGAAGCUGUAGUAGAGAAGAUCAUAGCAAACAUUAUCUCUCUGAAGUUACAAUCGAGUGGAUCAAAGCAACAAUUCCUAUACCACUGAGGAUGCAAUGGAUUGGAAUAAAGCUACUUGAAAGAAAGAAGCAUCAAAAAAAAUCGAGGUUCGGUAGGUCUAGGCAAAUUUGGCCCUCUUAAGGUCUUUGUUCCAUUCUCGUUACAUGACAAUGAGAAAAGAGGGGCAACUGUACGGGCCCAAAUUGGUCCAGCCCUUCAAAGAGACCCAAACUCACACAUAGGCCCAAAUUUUAGACCCAACUAGCUAGAUUUAGGGUUUCAAAGAAGCUAAAACCCUAAUCAACCCCUAACGCCGCCGACGUCACAUCAUCAGUGCAAGUGGCGCACCUGUCCACUGUCUCCACUGUUGCCACCGCCAUUUACUUGCAAAAGGGAAUAGUAGAACAAUUAUUAAAGAAACAAGUUGUAAAUGGCUAUAAAAGCCAUCUAAGAAACCAUUGUAAUGGGUUCUCCUUCAACGAAUAAAUGAAAUAGAAAAAAAGAGAGAUUCAAACAUUAAAAUAGCAAAUCUACGAAACAGAUUCAGAGAGAAAAACAAGUUAUAAAAGGGUAAAGGGUUACUGUUGUUUUUUUUCUUUCCUUUUCUAUUUAUUUUCUUUUUUUUAAAUCUACUUAUAUACAUACUUCAAAAUUUUCUCUAUUUUUCUUUUAAAAAAAAUCAGUUACAUAUAAAUAGAAAAAAAUAAAAAAAUACCCUUUUUUAGAGUUCCGGCCAUCGCGUGCAUUUAUCUUUAUUUCUAUUAUGAUUGUUAAUAUCAAAAAUUUUAUUUGUUUGUUCACGAAAAUAUUAUUUGUUUGUUCAUUCUUCAUUAUUUUAUUUUAUUACGAAUUUAUGUUAUAUUAACCUUUACCUGAAAAAAAUAAUUCUUUCAUAAAAGCAAUAUUCCAUAUUUGGAAAUUCGAGAUACGAGGUUUGCAAUAUGAGUUUUGAAUAAAAUGCUAAUUCUCGGAGAUACGAGGUGUUGUGCCCUAACUUACUGGAUAUGACAUCUUGUUACCUCGAGGUAAGAAUUUUUUUUGCAAAUAAAGGCAAUAUUCGGUAUUUGAAAAUUUGAGAAAUCGUGCCCUAACUUAUUGGGUUUCAAUUUUUUUCGUUUUCCCUAAAUAAUUGAAUAUUCUUUUAAAAAAGGGUUAAAAUACAUGAAUUUUAAAUAAAAGGCAAGCUCAUUCUUGAAGGCUCGAGAUGCCGUGUCCUAACUUACUGAAUGUGACAUUUUAUUACUUCGAGAUGAGAAGGUCUUUAACAUCUGUUUCAAUUUAUUCAAUCAUUUUUUUAAUUAAUGUUAAUAUAAAGAGUGAUCGUAUUUUAAGUUUUCAAAUCUUUGACACUAAGACACAGAUUAAUCAACUAGGUACCAAUUUUGGGCGUUUCGAGGGUGCUAAUCCUUCCUCGUACGUAAUCGACUCCCGAACCCGUCUUUCUGAUUUUUGUAGACCAAAAUCGUUGUUUUGAUAAAUCAGACUGGUUAUUAAAAACAACCACUUUUCAAGAUGACCCAAUCACACCUUAGCAAAAAGAAUUGGUGGCGCCUCCUUUUUUUUCGUUUUCAUUUUCAAAAUAAAGUUUUAGAAGCUCUUUAACUCCUUUCAUGGUCGAGGCUUUGGUUUGCACACUAAAUUGGCUUCGGAAAUCUAAUGAUGCCAUCAAUUUUGAAGAUUAUGUUGAUGAACUUUAAACCAUGGAAGAUGGUAAUAUAUAAAUUUUAAUUUAUAAAAUAAGCUUUUGUGUUAUUUAUAUUAGUAAGCGUUCCCAUAAUUUAACAACACUUUUGUUUUUAAAUUUGCUAGACUUAUCCAAAAUACUCGAAGAUCAAGAAGAUAAUAUACUUAACAUCAGUUUAUAAAGUUAAAUGUUUAUUUAAUUUAUUUUUGUAAUCUUUUAUCAUUUAAUUAACUCAUUCAAUACUUUUACUAAAUGUUUCAAGAUUAUCAACAGUGUUUGAAGCACAAGAAGAAACUUAAACUAUUCUAUAAUGGUUUUUGAACUGAUGUGUUAUUGUUAUUACUUUGGUGUGUUAUUGUUGUUGGUUUAUUGGACUUUUGUUGUGUUCCUUUUUUUUUGUUUGGACUGGUGUAGGUUUCUGUUGUAUUUUAGACUUUUGCUUAUGUUUGAAGCACAAGAAGAAACUUAAAUGAUUCGAUUCAAUUUGAAUUUCAUCUCACUCGACUCUAUUCGAGAAAAUUUCAAAUUGAAUUAGGAUGAUAAAAUAAUAUUUGAAAACUCAAUUAACUCGAAAAUUUUCAAUUCGAUUCAAUCAAAUGCUCACCCUUAGCUUUAGCAACGAAUGUGACACACCGUAAUUUGGGCUCAACGAUCAGAUAGAGUAUUAGGCUAUUACACAUUGCACUUCUUUUAUAUAUUUAAUUGUAUUUUUUAAGCCUUGUUGCAUGUAUGCCGGGGUGUAGUCAAGUUAUACAUUUUUUUUUAAUUUAAAACCAAAUAAUAAUGUAAUUAGUUAAAAAAUUAAAUUCAAAUUGUAUAAAAUAUAAUCAAAUUAAACUUUAUGAAUCAUGAUAUAAUUUCUAAUUUUUUAAAUAGUUUAUUUUAGUAAGUGAAACAAUUAUAGAGAUUAAAUAAUAUAAUUGUAUUAUUAAAAAAUAAUAGAAUAAAUUAAAAAUCCAACAUCUUAAAAAGUUUAAUAAAAUAAAUUUUGUAUCUUAAUAUUCUACUUAAAUCCAUGACUUUUGUCAUCAUCUUUCAUGUUGAUAUUCUUCUUCAAUCUAUCAUUAUUUAGACCUGUCACGGUUAAUUUUUGGUUUAGUCGAUCUAUGGAUAGAUCUAAUCAUCUUCAAUUAAUAUUACACUUUUGAUGCAAUUAAUUGUUAUGGAGUUGCAAAUUAUUUAAACAAUAAUAAAAAAUUAAAGAUAUGUAUUAAAUUAUAAUUAUAAUACUAAUUAGAAAAACAAUAUACAGUAGAAAUAAAUUUAAUAAGAAAAUACAAUUAUAAACUGAAGCUUUCAAAUUACAGAAUCAUAGGGAAAAUGAAUAAAUGUAGUUUAAAACAAAUUUAGUAUAAUUAAAUAAAUGUGUGAUGAUGAUGAAUGAAUAUUAUAAGUUUAUUUCAUCAUCGAUUAAAAUGAUUUUCAUUAACUUUCUAGUGUCUUUGUCAUUUGACUACGAGUUGAAUUUUUCUUUUUGAACAAUCAUUAUUUUAGUAAUCCAUUAUUUUUUAGACACGUCAAACAUAUUAAUAAAAUAAUUUUCAUUUAUUUAAUGUUGUUAUAAUAAUAAAUCUUAAUUUUAAUUGGUAUAUAACUAUAACACUAAUUAAAUGAUAAUUGAUUAAAAAUAAAAUAUUUUUAAUAAUUAAUAUAGUCAAUUGAACAAGAACUCUAAAAAAAAUAUUUAUAUGAUUUAAUCUAUUAUUUUUAUAGAUGAUUUUAUCUAUUUCUAUUCAGGUGCCCUUAAAUGGAAGCUUGUUUGUUUAUUAUUGCUAUAUAAGGGAUUGAAAUGCUAAAAAUCAACACAAAAAAAUGAAAUUUGUUAUUUUUAGAAAAGGAUAGGAAUAACGUAAAUUUGUAGUGUAACACAGUCCUUUCGCAUUGUUGCUAUGUAUACAUGAACCACAGAAUUUCUGAAUUUCUUGACAAAGAUACGAAAAAAAAAAUAUGCAAUGCAAGUACAAAGUACCCAUCUUCGAACUUCAUCGAGGAUCUAGUUCAGAAAUGGAAGCUUCAUUGACUGAGACUUGAACGGUUUCUCGUUUAGAUUGAUUGGAGAGUGAGGAUGACUGAGACUUCGUUUCUGUCUCCAUGGUGGAAUGCAUGGAAAAUGCAGGUCUCAAUGGCACUGGAAGAGUCAUGGAAUAGCUACUAAGCAUGAGAACCACAGAGGCCAUGGUUGGUCUGUAAGCAAUAUUGUCUUGAACACAAAGCAACCCAAGAUGGAUACAUCUCAUUAUUUCAAUUCUGGAGCAAUCCCUCAGGAUUGGAUCUACUACUUCUAAAGCAGUUCCUUCACUCCAGUUUCUCCAUGCCUGCAAAAGUCGAGGAAUAUGAACUUACAUUGUGUUCUUAGCAAGUUCUAAUCCAGGAAGACCAUAACCACAGUAUGCAGCUUACAUGGGUUAGAAGAGAGUCUCCCACUUCUUGGUUGGAGAAGCUACUGAUUUUUUUACCACUAAUGAUUUCCAAAACCAGCACUCCAAAGCUGUAAACAUCGGAUUUAACUGAAUAUUGUCCAUGCCAUGCAUACUCAGGAGCCAUGUAUCCACUGCGGACAAAUAAAUCUUAAUGAAUGAAUUUAAAUGGUAGCUAAUCCUCUAGAAGAUGUGCUAAUGCUUAGGAUCUUUGAGUUUUAGAUAUCACAAAGUUAACAAAUAACAUGUAGAAACAAAUCCUUCUUAAUGCUUACUAGGUCCCAACGACUUUGCUUGUGUCAGCUCGAGUUUGAUCAACCGUAAACAAUUUCGCCAAUCCAAAAUCUGAGAUUUUAGGAUUCAUCUCUUCAUCUAAUAAUAUGUUGGCUGCUUUUAAGUCGCGAUGGAUGAUUCGGUAUUGAGAAUCUUCAUGAAGAUAAAGAAGUCCCUUAGCUAUUCCCUUUAUAAUUUUGUACCUCUUCGUCCAACUUAGUAGCAAACGCUUUACUGAAUCUGCAAUUAAUCAUGAAUUUAAUAGUAAUAACCAGAGAUUAUCAACUUUUCACCUCUAUAACAUGACUUGAGUUGCAUUCUACUACCAAAUAUAAAUUAGAGGAUUAAACCAUACCGAAUAUAAAGUUGUCAAGGCUUGAGUUAGGCAGAAACUCAUAGAUGAGAACCCUUUCUUUUUGUUCCAAGCUAAAACCAAGAAGCCUAACCAAAUUCCUGUGUUGUAGCUUCGCCAAUAACAUCACUUCAUUCUUGAAUUCUUGUUGUCCUUGUCCCGAAUUUUCAGACAGCCUCUUUAUAGCUACUUGCCGUCCAUCCUCAAGCUUACCCUGAUAGUAUUUGUAACAAAGAACAACGAUAGAAAACACCAACUUUUAUUUCCUAUUAUUUGUUGGAAGCCAUCAAACUAGAGGCUUCACUUUCAUAUAUUUAAUCAAUUUUCCAAAUCUUAAAUUACCUUAUAAACAGGACCAAAUCCACCUCGUCCCAGCAUGUUUGCAUCCGAGAAGUCUUCUGUUGCAACUCUUACUGCAUCAAAGUCAAAUUGCAACGAUUCUACACGGGUCUUGGCAUCUGCAGGUUAACAAAGAACGAAUUAGGCUUGCGGUUAACGGCCGGGAGGUCUCAUGCCCAAAAAAAAGAAAAAAAGUUAUAACAAAUGAAAACAAGAGGAAAGCACUUGCAACUUUUUUGCUAAUUUUUAUUUCCUGAAGUAUAAAACCAUGCUUAAACAUUGGAAGAAGUACAUCAAAAGAGAGUAAAGGACCAACUUACUUUGAUCAUCCUGCUUGGGUUUCGCGAUCCUUUUACGGAGAAUAGCUACUGCAAGUAUGACAAGUACUGCCACCAAGAUGACAAUUGGAACAAUUAUAAUGACUAGGGUCUGGGAUGAACGGUAGCCUCCUUCCUCUGCACAAGCAACAACUUUUCAUUUACAUCAAUUUCUUCCUGAAACCAGCAUGCCGUCUAGCAGAUCGGUAGUUACCUUUUUUGAUUGUGUUCACCGACUGUGGCGGAGGACUAGCAGCUGGGGGUGGAGGACUAACAGGUGAGGGUGGAGGAUAUAAGGAUGGGGCUGUAGUAGAGGCAUUGGGUGUAUAGAAAGGAUACAAAUCCCAGCGGAAAUAACAGCUAGGCCUCGUAACAUAACCUCCUUGCUUCCCAUGGCAACAGCUUUCAUAGUUACUCACGGAUUGCCUUAGGCAGGAAUCACAAUCCUUGUGUGAUAAAUCUGGAGUGCACUGCAUUAGCGCAUAUAUCUUUUUGAAUACAGUAAAGUCUGCUUCCCCGGUUGCAUACUUAAGAGUAGAAGAGCCGUUGGAAGCGUUUCUCACCACUGUGUCCAUCAAACUCUCCCAAACCGUAUCAAAUUCUGUUAAGUUAGAUUUGAUGUCGCCUGUAUUAUAGCCUGCCUCAGGGUUUCCUAGCUCCUCCAGGGUUCCAUAAAACGAGCGAUCUGCAUAGUGUACAUGACAUGGUUGCCCUUCCCAUGAAAGGGCUGUUGGAAACGUGAUGGGCCGAAAAUUUACUUUUUAUUACACACUCAAUAUAUUACAAUACGAAGAUUACAAAUAUUUUCUCAAUGACUAGAUAGUCUAGCUGCUGCUAGAUUUUAACUCACUCAAGGUUUGCUAACCUUCUCACUCUCACUCACGUUGCUUCUCUUAUUUCUUUUUUCUUCUCAUUUUUCUUCAUUACAACACAAGUUCAAGCCUCUAUUUAUAGGCUGAUAAAGUGACAACAAAUGUGGCUAUUAAUCCACUUAAUUUCCAGCCACAAAACAUCUCAAUAAUGGAGCACUUUGUAUGGCUAAAAUUUCAGCACUUUGCAUGGCACAAAAUUGCUCCACGUCUCAUGCUUCUAGAUUAUGCUUGGAGUGGGUUUGAUUUCUAACACUCCCCCUCAAACCCAACUUUCAUACCGAGCUUCUCUUUGAAUUUGUUGAAUGUCUCCACUUUCAACGGCUUUGUGAAAAUAUCUGCCAGUUGAUCUUCUGUCCUGCAAUGGACCAACUCCACGUUUUUGUUUUUCACUUGCUCUCGGAUAAAAUGAUACUUCGUAUCGAUGUGCUUGCUUCGGCUGUGCGACACCGGAUUCUUGGCAAGUGAUAUAGCGGAUUUGUUGUCAACGUAGAUGGUAAUUGGACCUUCAUUUGAAACACCUAUUUCUCCCAAAAUAUUCUUCAACCACAUUGCUUGGCAUGUACAAGUUGCUGCGGCCAUAUACUCUGCUUCACAUGUUGAGAGAGCAAUUGUUUGUUGCUUCUUUGACGACCAUGAAAAAACUGCGGAACUGAUGUGGAAUGCAUAUCCGGAAGUGCUUUUCCGAUCAUCCAAGUCUCCCCCAUAAUCGCUAUCUGAGUAGCCAACUAAUUUUGAAUCUUGUGAGUGGGUAUAGAAUAAACCAUGGUUCAUUGUACCUUUGAUAUAUCUCAAAAUUCUUUUUGCGGCAAUUAAGUGGUCUUGCUUCGGCUUCUCCAUGAAUCUGCUCACCAAUCCUACUGCAUAUGUAAUAUCUGGUCGUGUGAUUGUCAAAUACCUUAAACUUCCAACGAGACUUUUAAACAAUGUCGGAUUUAUCGACUCCCUUGUCGAAUCAACACUUAGCUUCAUCCCUGGAUCAGCUGGCGUGACUACUGGCUUGCAAUCCUUCAUUUUGAACUUGUUCAAAAUCUGCUCCGCAUACUUCUUUUGAGAGACAAAAAUUCCAUCUUGCAUUUGUUUCACCUCGACUCCAAGAAAGUAUGACAUCUCACCGAUAUCUGUCAUUUCAAAUUCUUUAGUCAUAGCUUUCUUGAAAUCAUCAGACAUACCUGGAUUGUUUCCGGUGAAGAUCAUGUCAUCCACAUAUAGGCAUACGAUCAUGAUAUCUCCAUAUCCAUUCUUCUUUGUGUACAGGGUGUGCUCGUGCGGGCUUUUGAUGAAUCCAUUUCUUCGGAAGUACUCGUCGAUCCUUGUGUUCCAUGCUCUUGGGGCUUGCUUCAAUCCAUACAAAGCUUUCUUCAAUCGGUAGACUUUGUCCUCCUUUCCUUGUAUGCUAUAUCCAGGUGGUUGUUCUAUGUAGACUUCCUCCUCCAAGUAGCCAUUCAGGAAUGCAGACUUGACGUCCAUCUGAUAGAUUUUCCAUUUGUAUUGUGCUGCGACCGCUAUGAGAAGCCUAAUUGUGUCUAUUCUUGCGACUGGAGCAAAUAUUUCAUCAUAGUCCACUCCUUGUCUUUGCUUGUAGCCUUUGGCGACUAGUCUUGCCUUGUAUUUCUCUACUUUUCCUUCUUUGUUGGUCUUCGUCUUGUACACCCACUUGACACCAAUCGGGCUAUGUCCUUCUGGCAGACUUGUUAGCUCCCACGUGUCAUUCAUUCUUAUUGCAGCAAUCUCCUCGUCCAUGGCCUUCUUCCAUUUAUUGUUUUCAAUUGCUUCUUCGUAUGUCACUGGAUCACAUUCUGUCAUUAGACAGAAUAGUGAAUAAUCAAACUGCGUCUCUACAGGUUCCGUAGAAUUGUAGAUGUCGUUGAGACUCCGUGUUCUUGUGGGUGCUUCAUCUGAGCUGCUGCUUCCGCUGCUGCUGGUUGGUGACGAAGGGGCUGUUGUACCAGGACUUUGAUCAUCGCCUUGUUCUUCUUGGUUGAUGACAUCAUUGUCGUCUUCGUUGAAAAAUAAUCCUUCCACUUUCUUUUCUUCUUCACUCCAUCUCCAGUAAUCCGCUUCAUCGAACUCGACAUCUCUUGAGAUAAUCAAUUUCUUAGUAAGAGGAUUAUAAAGUCUGUAGGCCUUACUUCUUUUGUCAUAGCCUAUAAAGAUACACUUCUCUCCUCUAUCGUCAAGCUUUUUCCUCUGUUGCUCAGGAACGUGUGCAUAUGCAAUGCAUCCAAAAAUUUUGAGGUGUCCAACUCUUGGCUUGUGACCGCUCCAUGCUUCUUCUGGUGUCUUGUGUCUUACACUUUUUGUUGGACAUUGAUUCAACAGAUAAACUGCGCAUUCAACGGCUUCAGCCCAGAAAGUUCUCGGAAGGUGUUUACCUUUUAUCAUGCUUCUUGCCAUAUCCAGAAUUGUCCGAUUCUUCCUUUCUGCAACUCCGUUUUGUUGUGGAGUGCGUCUGGCUGUUAACUGAUGAAUGAUUCCAUGAUCCUUGCAGAAACUUUCAUAAAGCUUUGCAGUAUACUCGCCUCCUCUAUCGGAUCUGAGUAUCUUCAAAUAUCGACCACUCUGUUUUUCCACCAUUGCUUUGAACUCCUUGAAUUUUUCUAGGGCUUCCGAUUUUGCUUUGAGAAAAUAAACCCAACAUUUUCUGCUAUAAUCAUCAAUAAAAGUUAGGUAGUACCUGUUUCCACCGAGUGAUUCAAUGUCGUACGGACCAGAUAUGUCGGUGUGUACAAUUUCCAAUGGUCUUCUAGCUCUUCGAGAUUUUCCUACUUCAAAUUUCUGCCUAUGCUGCUUUCCUUUGACACAGGCUUCACACAGUUGAUCUGGAUGAUUAAUACUUGGUAAUCCAUUCACCAUAUUUGUCUUCGACAACAGCUUCAAGCCAGAAAAUCCGAGAUGUCCGUACCUUAAGUGCCACAACCAUGAUUCAUUCUUCAGAUCCGUCUUCAUGCAUUUUACUUCUCCAGACUCGAUGUCGAGGGUGAAAAGACGAUUUCGCGUCAUAUCAACUCGAACAACUAAUUCUCCACUUUUGUUCCUGAUGGCGAGUGAGCGGUCUUUCAUAUGAACUUCAUAUCCUUUUUCUAGGAGUUGACCAAGACUGAUCAGGUUGCUCUUCAAAGCUGGUACGUAGUAAACGUCUGAGAUGUACUUCUUCUCUCCAUUCCUUUGUGUUAUAACAACCUUGCCCUUUCCUUUGAUUUCUGCAUGUGAGUUGUCUCCAAAAGUUAUUUGUCCAUGAACUGUUUCAUCUAAUUCUGUGAACAGCUCCUUUCUUCCACACAUGUGGUUGCUUGCACCGUUGUCGAGAUACCACACACUUCUCUUGCGAUCUUCAUUUUCUCCGUAAGUGAGAAAGACACUUGAUUCCACUUUUUCGUUUCCUUCUGCUGCGACUGCUACAUGGUUUCUUUCAUCCACUUUGUGUGUUGAUCUGCACUCGUAACUGAAAUGUCCAUACUUGUUACAGUUGUAGCAUUGUACCUGAGAUUUAUUUUCUUGAAAUCUGCCUCGGCCACGACCUCUAGAUCCACGUCCACGGUUGGAUGUUUGAUAAUCUUUAUUUUCUUGAUAUCUCCCAUAUGAUUGAUUUCCACGUCCUCGUGAUCCUCUUCCUCCUCUGUUUCCACCACGGUAGCCUCCACGGUAUCCUCUGCGGUUUCCUCUUCCUUGGUUAAAGUUAUUACUUGUUUCUCCGUCGUCGACGGACAACUUGCUAUGCAAGGCUUGAUCAAGAUUUUCACUAUCUUCAUUUAGCUUCAUCUUUUGCUCAUGGGCUUGCAGAGAACCCACAAGUUCUUCGAGCGACAUCUUUGACAAAUCUUUUGAUUCUUCGAUGGCAACGACUACGUACUCGAAUUUGCGUGUGAGUGACCGUAGAAUUUUCUCCAUCACUCUUACCUCGUCAAGAGUUUCUCCAUUUCGUUUCAUUUCAUUUACCACCGAUUUUACACGAUUGGCAUAGUCAUCGAUAUUCUCGGAGCUCUUCAUUUUUAACAUUUCAAAUUCAGCUCUAAGUGACUGAAGGCGUACCUUUUUAGCUUUUUCUACACCUUGAAAUGAUUUUUGCAAAAUCUCCCAUGCAUUCUUCGCGUUCUUCACAUCUGAUAUUUUCUCGAAGGUUGAUUCAUCCAUACCUUGAAAGAUACUAUUCAAGGCCUUUUGAUCCUUCUUUCGUGCUUCUCGUAACGCCUUCUUAGCGUCAUUUGAUAAAGCUGCUUCUGUAGCGGCAUCUCCGGGCUCGAUGUAUCCUUUUUCAACGAUCUCCCAACAAUCUUGCGAACCGAGCAAAACCUUCAUUCGAAUGCUCCAAUUUCCAUAAUUUGUCUUCGUCAAUUGUGGAACUUGUAGCUGAAUUACGUCGCCCAUAUCGACUUGUUAGAUGAACACCAAAGGUACUCCGAACUGGACACGAACCGGACACGAACCGAACUCCGAACCAAGCUCCGAACCGUAGCUCUGAUGCCACUUGUUGGAAACGUGAUGGGCCGAAAAUUUACUUUUUAUUACACACUCAAUAUAUUACAAUACGAAGAUUACAAAUAUUUUCUCAAUGACUAGAUAGUCUAGCUGCUGCUAGAUUUUAACUCACUCAAGGUUUGCUAACCUUCUCACUCUCACUCACUUUGCUUCUCUUAUUUCUUUUUCUUCUCAUUUUUCUUCAUUACAACACAAGUUCAAGCCUCUAUUUAUAGGCUGAUAAAGUGACAACAAAUGUGGCUAUUAAUCCACUUAAUUUCCAGCCACAAAACAUCUCAAUAAUGGAGCACUUUGUAUGGCUAAAAUUUCAGCACUUUGCAUGGCACAAAAUUGCUCCACGUCUCAUGCUUCUAGAUUAUGCUUGGAGUGGGUUUGAUUUCUAACAAGGGCUUCCUUCUGGUUGGGACAGCUAGCUACGAGGUCGUGGAUUGUAGAAUUGACACAUUUAUAACAAUCGUCAGGACUAGAGUCUCCUCUGCACAUACCAAGAGCGUAAACUUUGUCGGCGUUUUGGCCAACAUUGGCAGUGAAGAAACCACCUUUUGCAGAGACAUUCGGUGGGAGAGAAGCAAGAAUAAGGUCCCGAUUUUUACCAUAGGUACUAUUUAUGGUGAAAUUACCAGUGUCAUAGCAUCUUAUGAAAGCCUCAACAAGACUGAUGCUGAUAAGCAGAUGGGAGAAAAUUGAAGAAAUAUUUGUAAGUUUAACCCACAUUUUGAGGUUUUAUAAAUUGAAGGAAAGGAAACCCAAAAGAACGAAGUGGGAACUUAUUAUUCCAGAUUUUUCAUGGCAGAGAAGAGAUGGGGGAUUGAGUUGGAGAAGGAGUCAAAUAGCACUCAUUGAAGCAAAAGUCUUGAAGCUUUUAAAAGUCAAACGAAACUUGGUCUGUAAUGCUUCAGUCUCUCACCUACGUCUAGUUAAUGGUAAAUAUUGUUUUAAUUGAGAAAUUAAACUAUUUUAUUUUAUUUUAAGUUGAUUUAAGUGUAAUUGUAUGUAAUUUUUUAUUUGAUUUAAUUUUUAUAAAUUAUUAACAUAAUUAUUGAUAUAACAUAAUUUUAUAUUUAUAUAUUGUAUAUAUAAAUAAUUAUAUUUAUCUAAUAUAAAAAUAAAUUAAUGUAUUUAUUUCUUUAAAUAUGUUUGACUAAAUUUUUACCAUACAUUUGAACCAUAAUUUAAUUUUCAUGUGUAUAAUUAUACUAAAUUAAAAUUCAUAAAUACAAUUACAUAUUAAAUUAAACUUAAUUUAUAAUUUUAAGAUUUAUCCCUUUUAAGUUUUUAUAUUAUUACUAAUUGCAAAUUAUUUGCUGCAUUAUGACAUAUAUUUUAAAUAAGUAGUUUACAAAAGUAUAUGUGUAGUACAUUUAUUAUUCUGAAUAAGAUGUAUUUAACCAUUUAAUUUUUUUAUUUAAAUUUAAACUAAUUUAUUUAUUUUAAUUUCAUACGUAUUGCAUAUAUGUUUAGUAUUAAUUUCAAAUUAAAAAUUUUAUUAUUUAAUAAAUAUUAUUUUCACUAUACUUACUUUUAUUCUAAAUACAUUCUACGUGUAUACAUAUAUGAUAAAAUUACUAAUUAACAUAAUUUUUCUAAUUAAAUGUGGUGUCACGUUGAAAAGUUAUAAAAUAAGCUUUUCUUAUUUUGAAAACAAUAAAAAAAAUGUAGAGUGCAAUGUUAUCUAACAUAAAAUCUUAAAUAUUUUUAUUAAUAAUGUUUAAUAUUUAGAGUUAUUUAAAUUAUAAAUUUUUUUAUUUUUCUAAACAUUCUAGGUUUUUACAUUUUAAAUCUACAUUUAUUUUAUUAUUUAAGUAUUCGUUUGAUAACUUAUUCAAAAAAAUUUAAUUCAUUGAAAGUUAAUAAUUUCAAAAUAGUUUAAUCUUUUGAAUGUCCUCGCUCGUUUUGGUGUGGAGGUGAAUGAUAACGAGGCCUUAGGGGGUCUCCCAAAAAAAUUUGACAAUUCUUUUUAGACUUUAAAAAUAUAAUAAAUUAGAGUUAGGCAUUGAACAUACUAUACUACGUGCCCGUUAUAGGCCAGUUUUUGAGAAUCAUUGAGCUAGUUAAUACAGUAGAUUGUGAUGGGACUCUAGCCCUACUUUGCAUAUGGAAAGUAUUGAUAAUUUGAUUUUAUUUGAACCACAUAUAAGACAAUAAGUAAGAAUGAUGGUUUUCAGAAUAUUCAAACCUUAUCGAGGAAGUAUGGCCGAAAUUGAAACCUCAUUUUGGAGGUUGGGUUUUGGAAUCACGAGAGUUACUAAUUGUGUAUUACCAUUUUGUAACGAGAUACUUCCAUGUUUCUUCCUUUAGGAGGUUGAAGUUGAGAGAUAAUAAAGUCCAAGGAACUUGUCUUUCGGGUUUUCUUUUUUGACUUGGUCGAAAUCAAAGUCUACCUUGAGAGUAGCAAAGUGGUGAAAUUAAUUGUAUCCAAGAAAAAGGAAACGAAAAUUGUACCUUCUCAUCCAUACUCAUUGAAAAGUCAGUUUUGAACAAAUAGACUCGUUUUUGCUGCUCUGUCUUCGGUAAUGGAAUGAUUUUCCCACCGUUCCCACUUUGGAUUUGAAAAGUCAGUUUCAUACCCCUUUUUCAUUUAUUACAUAUAUAUAAAAGAUCAAUACAGAAAACUCGGAAGAACAUCUCCCUGUGUUUUGCUGGAAUGUUGCAGAACAUUUAGCUAAAAGAGCGGCUUAACAAAACUUUUAGAAUCUAUCAUAUCUUUGUAAUAGUGAAAAAAUUGAAGAUGGAAUGACUAAUCAGUCACCGAGGUGACAUGUUUGAAAUCGUAACUUCAUUAACAGAACAUAUUUUAUCACUUGAAUUGGGUUCAACUGAUUCUGCAAUAAAACGUCCAACAUAAAGUGCAGGUUUCGCUGGUAGAGGAACUGUUAUGGUGUCGCUUCCUAACUGUUGGAAACUGGCCUGCAUGCAGCAUGUGAAUUUCCAACAUGUCAAGAAGCAACCCGAGCCAUGCAACACAUGCAGCAACAAAGGUGGAUAUGUAGCCCAUGCAGAUUCAAGCACGCAAGAACAAAUACACAUAAGUUACCCAGGUAAAGUAUGUGUAAGGAUUCAUACACAUAAGUUACCCGGGUAAAGUACGUGUAACUGAAUCUGUUUGUUUUGGUUCUUUUGUAACCAAGUCUAUGAAAUGUGUUCUAGUUCGUUUUGAACUUAGUUUAAGCCUACAUUUGAUGUAGUUUGAUGAUGUAGGAGCUGAUGACCAACUUUACUUAAGUGUACAAGUUUAGUUUUGUAAGUUCCAAUGUAAUAAGUGGAGUUAGGUAGUGUUUAGGUGAUGAAUUUGUUGAUCUUUUGACCAGCCAAUGACUGGUAUAUGUAAUGGCUUUAAGCCAAUAUUUCAAGUGAAUGAAAUCAUCAGAUUUUCUUCCAUAUGCUCCAUCUUUCUUUGCCUUCUAAAAACUUCUAAGUUCUGUUCUUCAUUCUUGACAGUAGCUAAAAGCUUGAACUCCAAGCAUUUUUCCUUCAUAUUUUAUCCGGGUAUAAUACGUUGCUGCUGGUGCUCUGUUUGAAAUUCUUACUUUACCUGGUUAAAGUGUGUUGAAACUCCAACACUAACAUUGCAACCACUGUUGACAUAGUUGGUCUGUCUGCCUGAUCUGAUUGCACGCACAAUAACCCAAUUUGGAUGCAUUUAAGCACCUCAUUGGGCACACUCGACUCAACAAGAUGUUUAUCCAUUAACUCCAUUCCUUUUUCUUUGGACCAUAGUUUCCAUGCCUACAAUUCUUACUUAGAAUUAGCUUAAUAUACAUAACAUGGUAUUAAUCUAUUAUUUAAAUAUUGAUAGGAUAAGAAAACAUACAAAAGUCAGGAGGCUUUCACUGCAUUCUGAAAGAUGAAACCCAUUAUUCCUUUUUCCACUUACAAUCUUCAACAAAAGGACACCGAAACUGAACAUCAGAUUUGACAGAAAAAAGUCCUUCCAUAGCAUACUCGGGUGCCAUGUAUCCACUAUUGUCAGAAACAAUGAAGAAAAACUAAAUCAAAAUUAGAUGAUCAUAAGAAACUUUACAAACAUGAACUGAUUUCCAAUGUAUAUCGAUCACAUAUCAGAUACUCUCAAUAACAAAACCAAGUUUUGUUUCUAAUCACUAACCAUGAAACAUACUAAGAUUCAUUACUUGCAUGGGGUCCUAGUUUAUAUGAUAUUGAUGUAGAGAACAUAUUUCUCAGAACUGAUCGAUGAAUAUGGAUAAGUUGAAAUUGGCAACAACUAAUGGUAGAGAAAAUAAGUAAAUGUAACCCUGUAAGCUUAUGAGUUAAUAAGUUGGGAAGAACCAAUUAAUAGACUUACUAUGUUCCGACUACUCUAUUUGUAUUUGCUUCAUUCUGAUCUCCACCAAAAAUUUUUGCCAUACCAAAGUCUGAAAUUUUUGGAUUCAUCUCAUGGUCAAGUAAAACAUGUUGAGCAUUGGCCUGCAAUGCAACAAACUUCCAGCAGCAGCAUGUCUGUUUGAAGAUUGAAUCAGAAGCAACUUUUUGUUUAAAUUUUGUAUUUUUUUUGUGAUGUUAACAAGUUGGCAAGUUGCUUGAUAUUUAAAGCUAGUACUUUUAGAUUUGAAAAUGAUGGAUGUAAUAGCUGAUUUAUUUUCAGAUUUUGACUUGUAUUAUUUUAGUUGGCAACUUGCCAAAUUUGGUGGGAGUAGUUACGUUUAGGUAACUGACUUGCUUUUGUAUCUCCUUUAUAUUUUGAAAUGGAAAUGGAAUGAAAGCUGAUGGGGGACUUUUCUCAUUCGGUUACUUACUGCUUCUCUUUGGAUUUUCAUUUUGUUCUUUUGUUUUGUUUUGCUUCCUGUUUUUCAUGAGCUUAUGCUCUUUGUUGUUCAUUGUUGCUGCUGCCUUUUUUCUAACAAAUGGUAAUCAGAGCCUCUUGUCUUUGAGGACCUAUGUUGUUUAAGUUUUUUUGUUUCAAAAUAAACUCAAAAAUCGUGUUUGUCAAACCAGUUUCAGCAACAUGAGCUUUGCACCUCCUCCACCACCAAUUUUUGCUGGAGAAAACUACCACAUUUGGGUAGUUAAAAUGAAAACUUACCUCCAAGCACUUGAUCUGUGGAGUGCAGUUGAAAAUGAUGUCGAGCCACCACCACUGAGAGCAAAUCCAACCAUUGCUCAGAUCAGGCAACAUGGUAAGGAGCGAGCCAAGAAGCAUAAAGCCAUGGCCUGCCUACAGAAUGGAGUGUCUGAUGUGAUUUUUACUCGCAUCAUGGCCUGUGACUCACCAAACAAGCUUGGGACAAGCUAAAAGAGGAGUUCAUGGGAUCAGACAAGACUAGGCAGCAACAAGUCAUCAACCUUAGAAGGGAGUUUGAAAAUUUGAAGAUGAAGGAGUUAGAAACUAUCAAGCAAUAUUCUGAUAGGAUUAUGGCUACUGUCAAUAAUAUUAGACUCCUUGGAGAAGAUUUCAGUGAUAGUAGGGUUGUUGAGAAGGUUAUUACCACCUUACCUGAAAGGUUUGAGUCAAAAAUCUCCUCAUUGGAGGACUCGAGAGAUCUCACAACCAUUUCCUUGUUUGAGUUGGUUAACUCACUCUAUGCACUUGAGCAGAGAAGAGCAAGUAGGCAGGAGGAGAGUCUUGAAGGUGUUUUUCAAGCAAAGGUCAGAGAAGGCUCCAGCUCAAGCCAGAAAGCUAAGAAGCCUUGGUUUGAAAAGAGGGAAAGAUCAAAGAAAGAUGCCGGUAGAAGGAGGUUUCCACCAUGUGUUCACUGCAAGAAGACUAAUCAUUUGGAGAAGUAUUACUGGACCAGACCAGACAUACAGUGCAAAAGCUGUAAGAAGUAUGGCCAUCAUGAGAAAAUCUGUAGAAGUCAUGAGAAGGCACAAGCACAGCCAGUACAAGCCAAGUCUGCCGAGGAUGUCCAAGCUCAGGAGGAGCAUGUAUUUACAGCUUCAUGUUUUGUAGCUAACAGCAAGAGCAGUUGGCUUGUGGAUAGUGACUGCUCACACCACAUGGCUGCAGAUGAGAGCCUUUUCAAGAACAUUGACAGGAGCUUUGUCUCGAAGGUCAAGAUAGGCAAUGGCAACUUGAUUGAAGCAAAAGGAAGAGGUGAUGUGGUGAUUCACACUGGUUCAGGUAACAAAAUCAUUUCUGAUGUGCUCUAUGUGCCAAAAAUAGACCAAAAUUUACUCAGUGUAGGCCAGCUAGUCAAGAAAGGCUUUUCACUAGUUUUCAAGAAUGAUUCUUGUGUUAUAAGUGAUGCUCAUGGUAGGGAGAUUGUCUCAGCACCUAUGGGAGACAAAUGUUUUAUGCUGGAUGUGAGUCAGCUUGAGAAAAGUGCCUAUACAAGCUCAGUUGACAAUACUGAUCUUUGGCACAAGAGGUUUGGCCAUGUUAACCUCAAAUCACUUGAUUUGCUGCACAAAAUGAACAUGACAGAGGACAUGGUGAAGGUUAGUGCAAGUGAAGGUGUUUGUGAAGUGUGUCAGCUUGGCAAGCAGGCCAGGUUGCCUUUUCCAGUAAACCAAGCAUGGAGGGCUCGAGAAAGACUUGAUUUGGUACACUCAGAUGUCUGUGGACCAAUGAAGACGCCUUCACUGAAUGGCAGUAAGUAUUUUAUACUGUUUAUUGAUGAUCUGACCAGAUUUUGCUGGGUUUAUUUCAUGAAACAGAAGUCAGAAGUGUUUGAAGUUUUUGGAAAGUUCAAGGCAUUGGCAGAAAAUCAAACAGGCUGCAGGAUUAAGGCCUUGAGGACAGACAAUGGUUCUGAAUACUUGUCUGAAAGAUUUCAGAAGCUAUAUGAGCAGGCUGGGAUUCAUCAUCAAUUGACCACAGUGUAUACUCCUCAGCAAAAUGGAGUAUCUGAGAGGAAGAACAGGACAGUGAUGAACAUGACCAGAUGUUUGUUGUUUCAAAGCAAGCUUCCAAGCAUUUUUUGGGCUGAAGGUGUCAACACCUCAGUGUACCUGCUCAAUAGGCUGCCAACACAUGCGGUGAAUGAUAAAACUCCUUUUGAAGCAUGGUAUGAUCUUAAACCAACUGUUUCCCAUUUAAAAGUAUUUGGUUGCAUGUGUUUUGUACUUGUCCCUGCAGAAAGAAGAACCAAGCUCGAGAAGAGGUCAGUUCCUGGUAUAUUUGUUGGCUACAGUAGCUGCAAGAAGGGCUACAGAGUAUUUGAUCCCUCAACCAAGAAGAUUUUGGUAAGCAGGGAUGUCAAAUUCGAUGAAGGAAGGUUUUGGAGUCUAGAUGGCUCUAACACAAGUUAGUUUGAAGAAGAGCAGAUUGACAACAAUCUGGAAUUGGCAGAAAAUGAAGUCAGUAAUGCCAAUGUAGAUGAUGCUCCUAUGAGAGGGACCAGGUCUAUUGCUGAUAUCUACCAAAGAUGCAAUGUGGCCAUUGUUGAGCCUUCAAGCUAUGAAGAAGCUGCAAGAAGCAAGAGCUGGAAGAAGGCUAUGGAGGCUGAAAUCGACAUGAUCCAUAAGAAUGACACUUGGGAUCUGGUAGACAGACUUGAUCAAAAGAAGGUCAUAGGUGUCAAGUGGGUUUUCAGGGCCAAGUUCAAUGUAGAUGGCUUUCUGAACAAGCACAAGGCAAGGCUUGUGGUGAAAGGGUACAAUCAACAGUUUGGCAUUGAUUUUGAGGAGACAUUUGCUCC
rnacentral:lncRNA from 1 species